NNNNNNNNNAAGAAAAACAGACUUUAAGAUGCAAAGCAUCUUAAAAGGGAUAGAAAAGUUAGCUCUUUCUGGAACACAUAAUUCUUAAUCUACAUGUAAAGUAGCCUCAAAAAUUAUAAAUCAACAGUUGAUGAGACUGCAGGGAAAAUACAAAACCCACCCUCAUGGAGAGAGAUUUGAAGACUCACGUCUCCGUAACUGGCAGGUCAAGCAGACAGAAAAUUAGUCAAGCAGGAUUUGAAUAAUAUAUCGCAAGCAAGGUGGAAUGGAAGUUUAUGGAACGCUGUAUCUAGAGACUAAACUUCUCAAGCACACAUUUUUUUUAAUUUUUUUAAUUUUUUUUUUUCUUAGAGACAGAGUCUCAUUAUGUCGCUCAGGCUGGAGUACAGUGGCACAAUCAUAGAUCGCUGUAACCUUGAACUCUUGGGCUCAAGCAAUCCUCCCACCUCAGCCUCUCCAGUGGCUGGGACUACAGGCACAUACCACCAUGCCCAGCUAAUUUUUUUUUAGAGACAGGAUCUCACUAUGUUUUUGUUUUUGUUUUUGUUUUUGUUUUUGUUUUUGAUACUGAGUCUCCCUCUGUCGCCCAGGCUGGAGUGCAAUGGUGUGAUCUCAGCUCACUGCAACCUCCGCCUCCUGGGUUCAAGCAAUUCUCCUGCCUCAGCCUCCCAGAUAGCUGGGAUUACAGGCACGCACCACCACGCCCGGCUCAUUUUCAUAUUUUUAGUAGAGACGGGGUUUCGGCAGACUGGUCUUGAACUCCUGACCUCGUGAUUCGCCCACCUCAGCCUCCCAAAGAGCUGAGAUUACAGGCAUGAGCCACCAUGCCUGGCCAGGGUCUCACUAUGUUGCCCAGGCUGGUCUCAAACUCCUGGUCUCAUGGGAUUCUCCCACCUCUGCUUCCCAAAAUACUGAGAUUAUAAAAAUUAUUU
rnacentral:lncRNA from 1 species